rnacentral:rRNA from 1 species
UACAGAGGGUGCAAGCGUUAAUCGGAAUUACUGGGCGUAAAGGGCGCGCAGGCGGUUAUGUAAGUGAGAUGUGAAAUCCCUGGGCUUAACCUAGGAACUGCAUCUCAUACUGGGUAACUAGAGUAUUGUAGAGGGUAGUGGAAUUUCCGGUGUAGCGGUGAAAUGCGUAGAGAUCGGAAGGAACACCAGUGGCGAGGGCGGCUACCUGGACAAAUACUGACGCUGAGGCGCGAGAGCGUGGGGAGCAAACAGG